UACGGAGGGUGCAAGCGUUAUCCGGAUUCACUGGGUUUAAAGGGUGCGUAGGCGGGCAGGUAAGUCAGUGGUGAAAUCCUAGAGCUUAACUCUAGAACUGCCAUUGAUACUAUCUGUCUUGAAUAUUGUGGAGGUAAGCGGAAUAUGUCAUGUAGCGGUGAAAAUGCUUAGAUAUGACAUAGAACACCUAUUGCGAAGGCAGCUUACUACGCAUAUAUUGACGCUGAGGCACGAAAAGCGUGGGGAUCAAACAGG
rnacentral:rRNA from 1 species